GGUGGUAGCUCAGUGGUAGAGCAUCUGCUUUGCAUGCAGAAGUUCCCAGGAUCAAUUCCCAGUGGCAUCU